rnacentral:rRNA from 1 species
AGAUGGCAUCAUGAGUCCGCAUGUUCACAUGAUUAAAGGUAUUCCGGUAGACGAUGGGGAUGCGUUCCAUUAGAUAGUAGGCGGGGUACGGCCCACCUAGUCUUCGAUGGAUAGGGGUUCUGAGAGGAAGGUCCCCCACAUUGGAACUGAGACACGGUCCAAACUCCUACGGGAGGCAACAGUGAGGAAUAUUGGUCAAUGGGCGAGAGCCUGAACCAGCCAAGUAGCGUGAAGGAUGACUGCCCUAUGGGUUGUAAACUUCUUUUAUAAAGGAAUAAAGUCGGGUAUGGAUACCCGUUUGCAUGUACUUUAUGAAUAAGGAUCGGCUAACUCCGUGCCAGCAGCCGCGGUAAUACGGAGGAUCCGAGCGUUAUCCGGAUUUAUUGGGUUUAAAGGGAGCGUAGAUGGAUGUUUAAGUCAGUUGUGAAAGUUUGCGGCUCAACCGUAAAAUUGCAGUUGAUACUGGAUAUCUUGAGUGCAGUUGAGGCAGGCGGAAUUCGUGGUGUAGCGGUGAAUGCUUAGAUAUCACGAAGACUCCGAUUGCGAAGGCAGCCUGCUAAGCUGCAACUG